AGACUUUGAAUGUCACACUGGUUGUUAUGACAUUCAAUUCUGCACAGACAGGGAUUAUGCAGAACUUAACAGUAAGUGCAGUAAAUAACACAAGUAAUUGUUUACCCAGUUCAGUCCAACAUGACCUACAUCUGGGGGCUACCAAGCCAGGGAGGAAAUCCACUAUUAGUAGUAUCAAUUCAAAGCUAAACUCACCCGUUUACAAC
rnacentral:lncRNA from 1 species